GGGCCAGUGGCACAAUGGAUACACGGGGCUGUCACUACAGAUCAGGAGAUUCCAGGUUCAACUCCUGGUUAGCUCA